rnacentral:lncRNA from 1 species
AUCUCCUACUGAGCUGGAAGCUCUGGUGGAUAGGGGCAGGUCUGCUCAUUCACUGCUGCCUUCCCUGCACCUGGUACCAUGCACACAGAAUAAGCCUAGCAGAAUGCCUGUGGAUGGACUGACCAAUGAAAGUAAUGAGGUGCUGGGACCCGAAGGCUGAGUGGCAUGAGUCAUGAGGAGGCAUAGGUGGAGUUGGAGGUGGGAGGAGGAUGAUGUAGCAAAGGGCCAGGCGGGUUCAGGCACGUUCCUGGCGGAAGGUGCUCUGAUGCUGUGGAAGACAGUUUCUUCAUGGAUUCCAACUGCUUGAUUUGUGGGAAUGACUCAACCAUGCCUGUUCUCCCCCACCUUUGAUGAGGCAUCUGACACUGAGUUAAUUCAUUUGCAUGGUGUAGACUAUAGUAAAUCCAGUGUUGG